rnacentral:rRNA from 1 species
AACGAACGCUGGCGGCAUGCCUAACACAUGCAAGUCGAACGAGACCUUCGGGUCUAGUGGCGCACGGGUGCGUAACGCGUGGGAACCUGCCUUUAGGUUCGGAAUAACUCAGAGAAAUUUGAGCUAAUACCGGAUAAUGUCUUCGGACCAAAGAUUUAUCGCCUUUAGAUGGGCCCGCGUUGGAUUAGCUAGUUGGUGGGGUAAAGGCCUACCAAGGCGACGAUCCAUAGCUGGUCUGAGAGGAUGAUCAGCCACACUGGGACUGAGACACGGCCCAGACUCCUACGGGAGGCAGCAGUGGGGAAUAUUGGACAAUGGGCGAAAGCCUGAUCCAGCAAUGCCGCGUGAGUGAUGAAGGCCUUAGGGUUGUAAAGCUCUUUUACCCGAGAUGAUAAUGACAGUAUCGGGAGAAUAAGCUCCGGCUAACUCCGUGCCAGCAGCCGCAGUAAAAC